ensembl:lncRNA
GACAGCUUGAAAAAGCACUGGAAUUUGUAGCAGGAUCGGACAGUUUAUGAACCUGAGAAAUAGGAACUGGCUCUGUAGUUCUGUUUAUCUAGAAUUCGAAGAAUGGAUUGUACUGGCUAUUGGAACGAGGUUCCCAGAGCUGACCUGGAUUUUCAACUUGCAAAGAAUCAGAAAUCAAUGAGGGAGAACUAAAUGCUAAUACCAUACUGAACGGAGCUGAAUCUCUUCAUCAAUCGAUAAAGAUGUUGUGUUACCAAAUUAUGUAGACUUUCUGGGUCACUGGUGUGUAUACCAAUUCCUCUACACGAGACCAAAAGGAGAGUACCUGAGAAGAAGCUCUGGCAGAGCAUUUCUAGGAUAGCCAGGCUUAACCACAGCUUUCUCACCUAUGCUCUGGUCUCCCGAGGUUAUCUGUUAAGUAUCAAAAGUGUUGUCUACUUUCAAAGACGGUGCUGAUAUCGAAGGCUGAUGAAGAUUGAGAGUCGUGCCUCCCAUCAGUAUUUUGAGGGCAUCCAUGGCUGCCGGUAGAUGUACCUUACUUGAAGUGGAGCAUUUUGUGGGAAGUUGUGGUAAAUCUAGCACUGCAUCAGUGAGCCAGCUGCCAACGAGAAUAGGAGUCUGACACCCUCACCCUGUUCACCACCUCCUCUCCACCUGCUCUCUUUCUAAAUUAUUUCCGGUAUCCUUGGGGCGAAUCUCAAUUUCAGCCCCCAGACCUGAUGCUUGAUAGUCUCCUCCCAGAAGGGACUUUUUGCUAGCCUUGACUAUGACUCACAUUUGCCUCUUGGAUUAUUUCUGCUCUCUCUGCUCCAGGUAAACACUUUACCUGAUCCAGAAACGAAAGCAAAGUUGGAGGAGGGGAGAAACAUGGAAAAAGACAUUGUAGCUAACGUGGAGGUUCUGACGACCCAGGCAAGUGACACAGAUUCAGCUGCAGCAGCCACAGGAGCCCCGCCUACAGUCCAGACUCCACUUGAAGAUGCUACUCUCGCUGCAAGCAGUGGGGCAAAUGUGGGGCAGAAAAGCAUGGGUCAAAGAGAGAAUGACGAGAUGGAAAAAAUGUCUGUUCUUAGUUUGUAUCCCAGUGCAGAGGCUGAUGCCCCACGCCCACAUGCUGCUCCUGUUCUUCAUGCAUGGCAGGGGGCUGACAGGCAGGGAAACGUAGGGAAGAAAAACAGCCGUAAAAGGAGGAAUAGAAAGGAAAAUAAGAUUGUGUAUUUUCCUUGGUCUCUGACACUACAGACUCAGGCAUCAUCUGCAGCCCCAGUUCUGGGUCAGACUUGUGUCACAGGGGCUUUGUCAGUUGCUGAUACUGGUAUGGAUGUGGGACAUGAAACCAGGCAGCAAAGGAGGAAUGGUGAGAAGGAAAAGGCAUCAGUUCUCACUCAGCCUUGGAAGGCACCAGCUAGCGCUCUGUUGCCAGAAGCAAGUACAGUUCAGCCCUCUCUUGAGGGGGCCUCUCUGGCAGACAGUGGGGAGACAAUGGUAGAGCAGAAAAGCAGGCAUAAGGGGAUAGAUAAAAACAGAAAGAUCCUGGCUAGACCUUGGCCUUUGACAGUACAGGCUUGGGUGUCUUUCAAAGGCCGAACUCAGGUACAGAAGGCUUUUGCAGGGGCUUCACAAUUCGCUAAUGAUGACGUCAAUGGGGAACCUAGAAGCAGGGGUCAAAAGAGUGAGAUCGAUAAAACAUCAGUUGUUACUUCGUAUCAAAGCGCACAGGCUGGUACCCCGCGCUCAGCUGUGGUUCUGGGGCAGGCUUCAUUGGAGGAAGCACCCCUCACUAACAGUGGGGGAAACUUAGAGAAGAAAAGCAGACAGAAGAAGAGGAAUAUAAGGAACAAAAGUGUCUUGGCUCAUCCUUGGCCUCUGACAGUACAAGCUUGGGCAUCAUUCACAGCCAGAGAUCCAGUUCCGAGCAAGUCUUCUGCUGCAAGUAUGGGGGUGAAUGUGGGGCAGAAAAUCUGGCCUCAACGGGAGAAUAGUGAGGAAAAAACAAAGUCCAUUCUUCCUCAGCCUGUGGGGGGCCAGGCUGGUAUCCCCUUCUCAGCAACAGCUCCAGGACAGGCUCCACUUGAGGAGUCUCCUUCUCUGGAAGAUGUACAUUCCAACCUGAGCUGAACGAGGAGGAGGCCCAAGGGGAGAGAUGAGGAACAAGUGAAGAGCAAUGCAGAGCCAAUCUUGGAACCCAUCAGAGUUGGACUGACCCAGAGGGGUAGCCAGGGGGAUCAGGACUUCCGGGAAUGAACUGUGAUGAAUUUUGCUAAGCAAGUCAACUGUUGUUAUUGUGGAAAGCUCUGCUCACAGAGAGGAGGAAGGCUUUGACCCUGACCAAAACCCACACCCACACUGGUAUUUCGGUAAUGGGAAUGUAGGGACCAGAGAGGGAAGAGGCUGAAUCUCAGACAGUCUGGUUGGGGAAAUAGGGAGGUUUUUAAGCUGAGGAAGAGAAAAGAAAGGGAACUAAGGAGCACUCCGGGUCCUGGAAGGGGGACCAUCUAUAUUUGGUUGGGAGAGAGAAGUGUCUAAAAUGCUUCUCUGAGAAAAGGGAGUCUCACUACACAAACGGUAAAUUUUCCAUUUAUGGUAAUAUUACAAUGACUCUCUUGAUGGAUGAUUUCUUUCCUAAUUAAGUUUUAAGUUUACAAGUGGUAAAUCCUGUAUAAUUGGCACAUACAGGGUAACAUUUCAGAGAAGGAAAAAUGCCUUUUUCUCUGUCUAUGCACUUUCCCAUAAGAUUUUUAACAUUGUUGGGAAAGUUGUGUUCUUAUGGCUGAUAAAUGGCAUUAUGAGUCUAGAUGUAAACGAAUGACAGAAUGUGUUUUGGAUCCUGAGAACAUUUCUCUUGACUAGAAAAUGUUAUUGUAUAUGGUAUAUUAGAUUGUAAACUGCCUUGAUGAUUGCAUUUAAUUCUCAGACUGGCCAGCUUACAGUUGCUAAGAGCAUAGACUCUAGAGCCCCGAUGCCUGGGUUCAAAGCCCAGCUUUGCCACUCACUAGCUGUUUUCUCUGAGCAAGUCACUCAUCUCCUCUGGGUCCCAGUUGGUGCUUCUAUCACCUAGGGAUAAUAAUAGCACCUGCCUUGUAGAGCCGCAUGAGGAUUCAACGAGUUAAUACAUGUGAAGCACUUAAAAGAGCACUUCGCAUAUAAUAAGCCCUCAAACAACGUCACCUAUAAUUACUUUAUCUUACAGCACUAAGUUUCAUGGAAGGGUCUGGCACUGCGGUAUUAUAUGUCUUAAAGGUUACAUAAAUGGCAGUACAUAUGUAAGACAGAAGAUGAUGCCUCCAUUUAAAAUUGCGGUAACAAUUCUUAAAGCCAUGGAAAAAUGCUACUUAAGGGGAAAAGUCGGCAAUAGAAUGGUAGCUAUCAUUUUGAGGUAGUAGGAUCUCAAGCAUGGUAAGAAAACGUGCAGCACGAACGGCUGGGAGAGAAACGUGCUGCUAUGGUAACACUGGCCACUGCUGGACGGUAUGAUUGCGCAUGAGUGGUGUGUCUGCUCUUAAUUAUUUUCUAUAACUUCCAACUUUCUACGUUACCACGUAAUCAGCAAAUAAUCAAAAUAAUUAAUGAGGAGACCAAGAAGAAGAAGACUUCCCCAGGCGGACUUGUUGGAGGAGAGUCACCCAGCGCGGGAGGCGCUGAGGGGGCUGGACCUUCCCCAGGGAAGACUCCCCAGCCUGCAGCUCCUGGAAAAGAGGUCCGGGGGCCUUUCACUGGGACCGAACAGAACACAGACAGCUCCACCAGGAAGGGGGGAGGGACUUCCGUUUUUCUCAAAUGACCUGUGGGAACAAGGGAGGGGAGCUCACUUUUCUUCUGCUAGAACUAACCAUUGCCUGAUCUCGCAGGGGCUGUGCUGCUCUGUCUAUAUUCUUGCUAGCAUCUGCCACAUUUGUUACAAACUUACCUGGGAAGCUUGGCUGAACAAUGUAGCUGGGCAUAGGCUGAGAUUAAAAAGUAAACUUUUGUUUUGGCCUUUUGUAUAGCCUGGCUUUGGGGUCAAUUUAGUUAAAAUGAUGUCCUGAUGCAUCCCUGGCGACAUUGAAGGGGUAGAUAUUGACGGAAGGCUCUGGGGGGCCCGAGUGCCAUUUUUGUGUGUUCCGGAUGCUCUAGCAGGAGCUUUGGGAACUUUUGGAGAAGCACUUUCACAAAGAUGCAGGAGGGACUUUUCCAAUGUCCACUCUUCUUCCUGCCCUGAGGGGUCCAGCUACACUCUGAUCUCCCUUGAAGGGGACAGUUGUACCCCUGAUUGGCCACAUAUCUCACUGUAAAACCUCGGGCUUUAACCGAAAGAGGUACUGCAUGUGUGUGAGUUGGAGGAGUGGCCACAUAGCCUCACAACCCAUCGACAGGGAGGGGCUCUCUGAUAUGCAUCAAGGUUAGAAUAUGGGAAAUGAAUGACUUCUGGUGGGGCGGGGCUUUGGCAGGACAAGAACAAAGGGGUCUGUGCUUUCUUUCUCCCAGGUGAGUUCUCUCCUCCACUGUCUCCCACAUGAGUAGUAAGUAAACUCAAUGCAAGAGAGCUAAGCAGGGCAACGGGAAGAAGUGAAGAAAGGAAAUCACGAGAGACUGUGCUCAGUUCUUGGUCUGGUCCAAGUUUAAAGCUAAAAGAGAAGGGAAUAGGGGUCUGAGGUUACUUCAUUGUUCAGCUCAGCUCAUUAGGAUAAGAUAGUCGAAAUGGAUUCGAAAAGGAAGCCUAUAACUAUGAAUAAAGACUGUGUUUGCCUAAUGUAUUUCCUGUGUCACAUUAGUCUUGGGAAACUUCAAGUACAACAGCAG